rnacentral:rRNA from 1 species
UAACGAAUCUUCCGCAAUGCGCGAAAGCGUGACGGAGCAAUGCCGCGUGCAGGAUGAAGCUUCUCGGAGUGUAAACUGCUGUCAGGGUUUAGCAACACAAUGAGCAGACCCAAAGGAAGGGCCGGCUAACUUCGUGCCAGCAGCCGCGGUAAUACGAAGGGCCCGAGCGUUGCGCGGAAUCAUUGGGCUUAAAGCGUACGUAGGCGGACACAUAGGCGCUUUGUGAAAUCCCUCGGCUCAACCGAGGAACUGCUUGGCGAACCAUGUGUCUUGAGGCAAGUAGGGGCUGUCGGAACGAUAGGUGGAGUGGUGAAAUGCGUUGAUAUCUAUCGGAACGCCGAAGGAGAAAUCAGGCAGCUGGGCUUGUUCUGACGCUGAGGUACGAAAGCGUGGGGAGCGAACGGGAUUAGAUACCCCCGUAGUCC